rnacentral:rRNA from 1 species
CCUACGGGAGGCUGCAGUGGGGAAUAUUGCACAAUGGGCGCAAGCCUGAUGCAGCCAUGCCGCGUGUGUGAAGAAGGCCUUCGGGUUGUAAAGCACUUUCAGCGGGGAGGAAGGCGGUGAGGUUAAUAACCUCAUCGAUUGACGUUACCCGCAGAAGAAGCACCGGCUAACUCCGUGCCAGCAGCCGCGGUAAUACGGAGGGUGCAAGCGUUAAUCGGAAUUACUGGGCGUAAAGCGCACGCAGGCGGUCUGUCAAGUCGGAUGUGGAAUCCCCGGGCUCAACCUGGGAACUGCAUUCGAAACUGGCAGGCUAGAGUCUUGUAGAGGGGGGUAGAAUUCCAGGUGUGGCGGUGAAAUGCGUAGAGAUCUGGAGGACUACCGGUGGCGAAGGCGGCCCCCUGGACAAAGACUGACGCUCAGGUGCGAAAGCGUGGGGAGCAAACAGGAUUAGAUACCCGGGUAGUC